UACAAAGCAUGAAUAUUGGAUGAUAUUUUACACAUUGCCAUCUAGAAAUAUUAGGUCAAUAUAGAGUAUAGGAGUCACAAUAUAAUAAACAGGAAGGUCUCAUAUAUUAAAUCAACUAUGUUGCAUUACAAAGAACACGAUUCAAAGAUUACAAGAUGUGAAACUAUCUAGUAGUCGCCAAAUUCUCGACCUUGCAAUCAACUAUAAUGUUCGAAACAAUGUCCUAGAAAUGACAUUCUCAGGAUCUAGUACUAGUAGUAGUCCCAUUCCCAUCCUUGAAAUCAACAUCCGAGCCAUGCAUCAUUCAUUUAUCUUGGAAAUCUAUAAAAAAAUGAGAUGAGUAACUUACUGUAGAGAAAAUGAGGUUAGUAGGGAAGUAAAAUGUAGAGGAGCAACAUACAAAGGUUGAAGGUCAUGACAUUAGUAGCUUUGUACUGAAAGUAGAGUAAUAGCCUACAUCUCACAAACACUUUUGAUCCUUGUUUUCUUAUGAAAAAAAUCUACUAUAUGUCAAUUGAAUUAACGUAAACCAUAAAGCAAGCAUACUAAUGUAGGAAAUUAGGUACUUCCUUUAAAUAAACAUGUACUGACAUACAACACAUCCUCUGGUUUUAAUGAAAGAUAUGCAGUUCUCCAGAAAAUACAAAUAGAUAAAGUUUCAACAAUUCAAAUAUACUUUAUGCAGAAAGAAAAUAAUUCACACUAGGCCAAACUUGGAUGUGCCUUAAUUAGGCACAAUGAUACAUGCUAACAAUUUAGACAUCUAUUUAUAUACUAGGAAAUUGUUUAGUACAAAAUUAAUAGAGGAAAAUUUAGUACAAGAAGUCUAAAUCUUGACAGAAUGGGAUAUUAGCCUCUCCGAGCUACAGGACCCUUAGCAACUCCGUAUUCAGUUGUACACAUCAAUUUAGUAAAAUAUUUAGAUCAACAUAAAAUCUAUAGGGAAUGCUAGAAGAUAUUAGACAUAGCGCGCGUGUACGAAGAAGUUAAUAUUUGAGAGCAAGACGAGUACUUACACAAACUUCUCAGUAUCUCAGCUGCAGACAUCACAUGACUGUCCGACUUGGCAUCCAUCUUCUCUUUUCUAAAUUGGGCAAUCUCUCUGUAAUCUAUAAACCAAUAUAGGUUUGUGACAACAUCUUCAGUUUAUCAAAGAUGUUUUUCAUUCAAAAUAGGUUAAUAUGGUUUACUAUGCAAAGUAGGGUGUAUUACCUUGAGCAUAUUGAUGUUUAUCUGAACUCGUAACAUGAAAAAUUGGCCGAUGAAGAACAUGUGAGACAUAAAUAUUUAAUGAUCUUUGUGAAGAAUCAGAUGCUGAUUAAAGGAAGUUGGGAGCCAACACCAUGUAGAAUACUAAAAGUUCUGUUUGAGUAAUUGGAGCAAGGUGAAAUCGUACAGGGUUCUGAUUCAAGCACUGAAAUUCUUAUGGAAACAAGUCAAGAAAUAACAAAACGUGUUACAGUCAUAGUAUAGCAUAGUUCCUACAUCCAGUAACUUCACCAUCUUAGAUACUAGGGGAACACAGAACCUUACAACCAAAGAAGUCAGUACCAUAGUUUCCCCCCGCGGAGUUGGCACUGAUCGAGGGCAUCUCAAGCAGGC
rnacentral:lncRNA from 1 species